AUGAAGAAUAAUACCUUCCUUUUUGGGGUUUUAUUACUCGUGAACGGUGUGUUUGAUGUUGAUGCAGAUGAAGUGUCAGUAACAGUGAUGGUGGGAGAUUCAAUCACUCUACAUGUUACUGAAAUACCGAGAGGAAGUAACAUAAUAUGGAAGUUUGGUGAUGAAAUCAUUGCUAGAAUGAAUGAAGCAGAUAGAAAUCCCUCUACAAAUGAGGGCCCUGGUGCGAUAUUCAAAGACAGACUGAAGCUGGACGAGACUGGAUCUCUGACCAUCACAAACAUCAGAACUGAACACAAUGGACAUUAUAGUGUAGACAUCAGGAGCACAAAUGCAGAACUGAAGACAUUUCAAGUUACUGUCCAUGGAGGCUAUAUUUUAGGGAGAUUUGUUCAUUCUCUAAAAAUUCAAAAGCCUUUUUUUUGUUGCAAAUUAACAAUCAUAUGUGAUGCUAUUACAUUUACAUUUACAUUUAAUCAUUUAGCAGACGCUUUUAUCCAAAGCGACUUACAAAUGAGAACAAUAGAAGCAAUCAGACCAACGAGAGAACAACAACAGUAUACAAGUGCCAUGACAAGUCUCACUUAG
rnacentral:lncRNA from 1 species